AGAGUUUGAUCAUGGCUCAGAUUGAACGCUGGCGGCAGGCCUAACACAUGCAAGUCGAGCGGUAACAGGGGUAGCUUGCUACCCGCUGACGAGCGGCGGACGGGUGAGUAAUGCAUAGGAAUCUGCCCGAUAGUGGGGGAUAACCUGGGGAAACCCAGGCUAAUACCGCAUACGUCCUACGGGAGAAAGGGGGCUUUGGCUCCCGCUAUUGGAUGAGCCUAUGUCGGAUUAGCUAGUUGGUAAGGUAAUGGCUUACCAAGGCAACGAUCCGUAGCUGGUCUGAGAGGAUGAUCAGCCACAUCGGGACUGAGACACGGCCCGAACUCCUACGGGAGGCAGCAGUGGGGAAUAUUGGACAAUGGGGGCAACCCUGAUCCAGCCAUGCCGCGUGUGUGAAGAAGGCCCUCGGGUUGUAAAGCACUUUCAGCGAGGAAGAACGCCUGUCGGUUAAUACCCGGUAGGAAAGACAUCACUCGCAGAAGAAGCACCGGCUAACUCCGUGCCAGCAGCCGCGGUAAUACGGAGGGUGCAAGCGUUAAUCGGAAUUACUGGGCGUAAAGCGCGCGUAGGUGGCUUGAUAAGCCGGUUGUGAAAGCCCCGGGCUCAACCUGGGAACGGCAUCCGGAACUGUCAGGCUAGAGUGCAGGAGAGGAAGGUAGAAUUCCCGGUGUAGCGGUGAAAUGCGUAGAGAUCGGGAGGAAUACCAGUGGCGAAGGCGGCCUUCUGGACUGACACUGACACUGAGGUGCGAAAGCGUGGGUAGCAAACAGGAUUAGAUACCCUGGUAGUCCACGCCGUAAACGAUGUCGACCAGCCGUUGGGUGCCUAGAGCACUUUGUGGCGAAGUUAACGCGAUAAGUCGACCGCCUGGGGAGUACGGCCGCAAGGUUAAAACUCAAAUGAAUUGACGGGGGCCCGCACAAGCGGUGGAGCAUGUGGUUUUAAUUCGAUGCAACGCGAAGAACCUUACCUACCCUUGACAUCU
rnacentral:rRNA from 1 species